rnacentral:rRNA from 1 species
AUGAAGGGAAUCGCUGACCAGCUUGCUGCCGCAGGGAAGAAGAUGGACGACGACGAUCUGGUCUCGCAGAUCCUCUCGGGGCUUGAUGCAGACUACAACCCCUUCAUCUCGGCGCUCUCUACCAAGGUGAACGAGCAGGCGAUCACCCUCGCCGAACUCUUUUCCGGGCUCCUGGUGGCUGAGUCACGUCUAGAGGCGCAGAACCAGGUGAGUCAGCAGCUGUCGGUCAAUCUCGUCGCCAAGGGUGGACGUGGCGGCGGCUAUCCUCAGGGUCGCAGCAAUAGCAGCGGCAACGGUCACGGUGGAGGAGGCGGGCGCUCCUCUGAUGACGGGCGUGGUGGCUAUGGUGGCUACCCCAACCAGCGCCAAGGCGAAGGCGGCAGUGGCGGCCAUGGCGGUGGUGGUCAUGGUGGUGGAGGCUACCACAACGGCGGCGGCGGCUACUACAACGACGGCGACGGGGGCUACAACAACCAUACCCGCCCCGACGUGGUCAUAUGCCAAAUCUAUGGCAAGGCCGGCCACGAUGCAUAUCACUGCUGGAAGAGGUUCGAGAAGAACUUCAAGAGGAAGGAGAAGACAACAAACUCCGCAGCCACUUCAUACGGAGUUAAUACGAACUGGUACAUCGACACUGUAGCAACCAACCACGUCACGAGUGAGCUAGACAAGCUCGCUACCCACGAAUGCUACACCGGCAUAGAUUAA